GGCAGGUCUGUGUCAUGUCCAAGAGACUCCACCCUUUUCCCGUUUUACUAAUUUGACACACCUGAGAGGAAAGAAGCAGUGGUAAUUUACAGAGUGCUCAGUGACACAUAAGAAUGGUGGAGCUUGGCGUCAGGAGGCAGAAAGAUACAGCGCCAGCGACGUGGGGCGAGUGGUCGAACUGCUGCAGCAACGGGAGGAUACAGCGCCAGCAAGCAGGGACGCGGAGCGAGCGGUCCGACUGCUGCAGCAACAGGAGGCCAGAGUACACGUCUGCGGGGAAUUAGAGGCGGCGAGGCGGGCCGGUGCCGAUUGGCGGUUUACAAAGAAGCGGCGGGUAGAAUUAUGAGCUCUUCCCACCCGGGGUAAGUCUUUUGACUUGUCCCCUUAAUGAAUGAAAGCCGCCUAAAAAGAGUAGUGACUGCCGCUGCCUUUCUGUUUUUAGCGCACCGGGGUGGAGACGAAGGCGAGGAUGCCGCCGGGUUUCCCUUCUGCACUGCUUCACUGGAUUUUAAUUCUUAGUGACGGACGUCACUGGACUUUUAACGUUUUUUUUUUAUUGAUUUUUAUUGUGUCGCUCCCUGGCCAGGGUUGUUUUAAUUCGUUUUAUAUUUUUAACGGUUUAAUUAUAAUAAAUUAUAUUUUAGUCUUACAGUUUUAAAUUUGUGCUCAUUCCCUUGGCUGCCCCACUGCUCUGUCCGUUU
ensembl:lncRNA